UCCCAUGUGGUCUAGUGGUUAGUAUUCGUGGCUUUCACCCACGCGGCCCGGGUUCGAUUCCCGGCAUGGGAA
rnacentral:tRNA from 1 species